GAUGAACGCUGGCGGCGUGCUUAACACAUGCAAGUCGAACGAAGCACUUUGGACGGAUUCUUCGGAUGAAGUCCUUAGUGACUGAGUGGCGGACGGGUGAGUAACGCGUGGGUAACCUGCCUCAUACAAGGGGAUAACAGUUAGAAAUGGCUGCUAAUACCGCAUAAGCGCACAGUACUGCAUGGUACAGUGUGAAAAACUCCGGUGGUAUGAGAUGGACCCGCGUUGGAUUAGCUAGUUGGCAGGGCAACGGCCUACCAAGGCGACGAUCCAUAGCCGGCCUGAGAGGGUGGACGGCCACAUUGGGACUGAGACACGGCCCAGACUCCUACGGGAGGCAGCAGUGGGGAAUAUUGCACAAUGGGGGAAACCCUGAUGCAGCGACGCCGCGUGAGCGAAGAAGUAUUUCGGUAUGUAAAGCUCUAUCAGCAGGGAAGAAAAUGACGGUACCUGACUAAGAAGCCCUGGCUAACUACGUGCCAGCCGCCGCCGUAAUAC
rnacentral:rRNA from 1 species